CGUCAUCUCCAGGGGGGCCUGUCGUAAACAGGCUGAGAGGUUCGGUGUUGCCGAACGACCCUUUGAACCUGAACCGGUUAAGACCGGCGUAGGAAGGAUCGUAUGACGUAUA
rfam:Thalassospira sp. MCCC 1A01428 contig27, whole genome shotgun sequence.